GUAAUGCGUAGGAAGCUGCCCGAUAGAGGGGGAUACCAGUUGGAAGCGACUGUUAAUACCGCAUAAUGUCUACGGACCAAAGUGUGGGACCUUCGGGCCACAUGCUAUCGGAUGCGCCUACGUGGGAUUAGCUAGUUGGUGAGGUAAUGGCUCACCAAGGCGACGAUCUCUAGCUGUUUUGAGAGGAUGAUCAGCCACACUGGAACUGAGACACGGUCCAGACUCCUACGGGAGGCAGCAGUGGGGAAUAUUGGACAAUGGGCGCAAGCCUGAUCCAGCCAUGCCGCGUGCGUGAAGAAGGCCUUCGGGUUGUAAAGCACUUUCAGCGAGGAGGAAGGGUUAGUCGUUAAUAGCGGCUAAUUUUGACGUUACUCGCAGAAGAAGCACCGGCUAACUCUGUGCCAGCAGCCGCGGUAAUACAGAGGGUGCAAGCGUUAAUCGGAAUUACUGGGCGUAAAGCGCACGUAGGCGGUUUUUUAAGUCAGAUGUGAAAGCCCCGGGCUCAACCUGGGAAUUGCAUUUGAAACUGGGGAACUAGAGUGUGUGAGAGGGGGGUAGAAUUCCAAGUGUAGCGGUGAAAUGCGUAGAGAUUUGGAGGAAUACCAGUGGCGAAGGCGGCCCCCUGGCACAACACUGACGCUCAGGUG
rnacentral:rRNA from 1 species